CUAGCCGUAAACGACGGAUACUAGGCGUUGAGAGGAUCGACCCUCGCAGUGCCGUAGCUAACGCGUUAAGUAUCCCGCCUGGGGAGUACGCGCGCAAGCGUGAAACUCAAAGGAAUUGACGGGGGCCCGCACAAGCGGUGGAGUAUGUGGUUUAAUUCGAUGCAACGCGAAGAACCUUACCAGGGCUUGACAUGUCCGGAACCCUGCCCAAAGGUGGGGGUGCCUACGGGAGCCGGAACCCAGGUGGUGC
rnacentral:rRNA from 1 species